ACCCGAGUCUGGGAGGAAGAGGAGGAGACAUGGGAGGACCUAAAAGGAAAAAAGAAUUUGACCCUUAGUGUGAGAUCGGAGGGAAGGUAGGUUGUCGUUUCUAUAACAAACUAGAACUUGCGCGUGUGUGUAGCAUAUAUCUCCGUCUCUCUAUAUAGUUAAAUAGACUGACUGCACGACGCGAAUAUUAAGGAUCAGAUAAGUAUACUGGCCAUUGUAUAAAGCAUUCUUAAUCCUGGCCAUGUGCUGCACAGUACGGUGCUUUCUCACUUCUGCUGUUUGGGUGUUCGGCAACCAGCCAUUGCCACCUGAUGCCAUAACAUCUGUUUCAGGAGAUUGCUUAAUUGUGUUUAGAUAUCUGAAGUGAACACUUGCUGAAAGACUGUAUAAGCUUUUUUUCAGGAAAGCCUAUGAAUGGCUAGUACAACCCUGGACACACCUGAACCGGCUAAUGCAGGUUAAAUGAAACAUACUUGGAUGUCAAGUAUGCCUGUGUGGAUGCUUCUGUUUUAGAUUUUGAAUGUUCAUGCAUUAAAAAAAAAAAUCAAAGGAUUCCCAAACUCAUAUUUCAAAUUUGUGAUGUCUAAGUUUUGAUUGACUUAUAUUUUAAUAAGUCCCUGUGCAUCAAUUCUCUAACGUAAGUGACCAAAACCUCAAGCUGCACUAUAUUUAUCUAAUUUUAGAUGGCAAAUAUCCCCCCUAAGCACACAAGCAAUAAGUGUGCUUCUUUUUCCUUAUGGGAAAAGAUUUGUUCGUUGUAGAUUGCAUCAAGUCUUAGUCAUGCUCAAACCAUCAAUGGACUUAAGUCCAAUGAGUUUAUUCUCAGCAUGACCCACUGGAUUCAGUGCUGGCAUCACACCCAUUCAGUAUUGCAGGAUUUGAUCUUUGACUUCCAGUCCUGAAGGUCCGUUGACCAAGUUUUGAUAAGUGCUGGCGUCAGGCCUUCCAGUAUUGGACAGUAAGAUAUUUAGCUAUUAAGGGAGCUUGAAUGAGACAUGAUGUAACCUCCCUCACAUAGAUAGUUAUAUGGGUUGUCUUCAAUGGACCUAAGCUAGUCAUAGAGCCAUUAGUUUCUAUAGGGGUAGACUGAGUAAAAGUUAGUUGAGAUUCAACUCACAAGUCUUGUCAGUGGAAACCCUGCACAGGGAGUUCCAUUUGUGCAAUGGGGCUUUCCCCUUUCUCUCCGCUUGCACCCCACAAAUUGGUUCAGAGCAGUGGUUGGGAGAAGCCCCAGAACAGCGCGUAGACGGAGGCGAGGAAAGUUCCAUCUGAGAAGCUUGCCUUGACGGAACAAUCAACAUAGCUCAACACAAUUCCACCCUGUGUCUUCAAAUUAAGAGAUGAAAAUCUGAAGCCUAAAUAAAAAUUAAUAUAAUUCUGCCCUAUAUUUCACCACAAUAGAACUAUAAUAGGACAAGUCCUAGUAUUUGAGAUAAGAGUUCCACCAGGUGUAGCAUCUAUCCAGCUGGAGGUGUUAUCUCCAAGCCCAUGGAUUAGUGUGAACUAUAAAUUAGUAGGCAGAUUGAUGUUUACCCAUAGCACCUGUAGCCACAAACCCAGUUCAGCUCUGAUUGUUCUUAUUUUUAUUAGAUGCUUGACAAACAUACAGGCAGUCAAUGAAAUGUCAUGGUCUGGUCUACAGGCGAUCGUAGUCCCAGCUGAGGAUGUCAGGACCAGGGGCAGGAUGGCGGGGUGGGAGCAGGAACGAGAGUCCAGAAGCCAAGGUCCCAGGAUCAGAAAGCAGGAAGCCAAACGCAGCAAGGCAGGAAACGUACUUCUGUGGCAAAGAGCUGAAGGGAAAUGCUGACCUUAUAUCCCUUCCCGGCUCUUGCCACCAGGUGCAGUGAGUUACCAAGCGGCCUCACCUGAACAAACUUAGGAAGGCCCCAGUCCUGCAAAGCCUUACUGGUCACAGGGCCUGGCUCCUGCAUGCACUCCUGACAUGAAAGGAAAUCUGGACAUGCAAACAGGUGGCACUAAUGAUGUGAUGUUCAUUUUGCAAUUACUCUGAACAGCAGGCUGUUGUUAACAUAUCUGCAGCUAUAAUACCAUUGCCACCAUAUACAUGGCUCCACGGGGAAGGGCAUAGUGGCAAACUAGACCAGGUCCAUGUCCAGCAGGGACUUAUUCCAAUGGGACUUUCUCCCAAGUAAGUGUGUAUAGGAUUACUGACACAAUUCAAGAAGCCAUUUGUUCAGAAAUGGAGCCUCCUUUUCGAAACAUGCCUCAACUGAAGUUAAUGGAUGGGGUGUUGCUGUUUAUUCCAGUAGGAGCCAUGACAAGGCAGAAAAUGACUUGGUGCUACUCAAAGCAUAAGGUUAUAUGAUGCCACACUCCCAGACCUAUUUUGUGGGGCAAAUAGGGCAGUUGAUAUAUUUCUCACCUGCAUUAUUGUGUCCAACACUCCUUUUGGAAACUAAUAUAUGAUACAAAUAAAUUUAGUAGAAGCUGUAUCAUUUUAGGCUUACAACCUAAGUGGGUGGGUUGUUUUGUACACAUUGUUUAGUUAAUGAUGUUUAAUUAUUUCUUUCGCCAGUUCAAAAGUUGCUGUUCACCACUGUGAAGUGUUUUUUUUUUUAACCCUUGCUUUUAGAAUGCUGACUGUAAUCAGAAUCAGAUUAAACCCACAAAACACAAACACAAAUCUCCUUUCUUCAUUUGGCUGUGGCUCAACUUUUUUUUUUUUCUUUAUUGGAAAUUACAAACAAUGAUUAAAUUAUCCUUUGGCACACUAAAAUAAAUGCCUGAGGGUAUAAAGCAUGAGGUUAAACAGGAGUGGAAUAAAACUUUUUGUGUGGUGCCUGAUGAAAUUUUCCAUGUGUUGCACAACAAAUAAAAUGUAAUUUAUUCCUAUUGUGUCAAGUUUGGUCGCAAAAGUGCAUGGAGUACUAUUCACAGGCAAAACUAGCCAGAUCCAGAGGCAAAAAUGGGCAGAUCAACAGAUAACAGAGUAAACCAAACUCACUAGGAUAAAAGAGUUUGGAUUUGUCUGAUUUUUGGCUUUCCUGACUUAGCCAAAGCUACACUGGCAUAAAUCGUUCACCCCAACUGAACUGGAGAUAUGCUUGGGGCGUAAGCCCCUCACCCCAGCUCUGCCGUGACUCAAUUGGAAGUUAAGCUGUAUUCCUAAACCUGGGCCUGUGUAUGAACACAGAUGCACAGAUGAUAUAGUGACUUGGGAUCUGAGCUGGCACAGCUCAUCACAACAGCAAACAGCUACACAACCAGGGUUUUCUCUACCAGGAUAGCACUGUAGACAAAUGAGACCAAUCUGACAGAACCUGAGAUGUCUAGGUAAUUUGCUGGGCUAGAGACAAACAAAAGCUCAAAUGCCUUUUCAGCUUUGCUAAGUCUGUUUUGCAAGCGCAAAAAGCACUAGUGAGGCUGUCAAAAACAAGGCACAGAUUUGCCUCCAGGGAGAUGAGUUAUGUUGAGGCAGCCUACUUUAUGAAGGCCAGUGGAGUUACCAGUUAAAAAAAUAAGAAGGUGUCUUUUUGGGGGUUUUUUAAUGUUAGAGGAGCAAGCAUUUUCUCCCUUUAAGCUUGAGAUAAUGUGUUUUUAACACGAUCAUCUUGCUCAUUGUUUCCCAGUUAAUUAAUCAGAAAAUCAAUUACAAGCUAAAAAGGGGAUUCUGUUAUAAUAAUGGCAUUAUAACACAUCUUUUACCUUACGUUUAGCAACAUGAUAUAAAUACACAAAAGGUGCCAUGUUAUUAUUAGCUUUUCUGAAAUCAGAGAUCAAGCACUCCAUUAUCAGUGGGAAGAACCUAUAUUAGAACCAAUCUUUUUUCUUUUCCAAAGUUGGCCGGUACAGUAGAUGCUCUUUGUUGCAUGCUGAACACAGCCUAGGGCACCCUGCCAUUCAAAUCAAGAACAAGUUAACCUACCUAACUGGUAAUUCUAGUCUCAUUUGGGGAGAUCAAAUACUCAUAAUGAAAGAGUCUCUGCAUUGUUGUCCCUGCCUUCUAGAAUAAGGCUUCACAUACUUGACAAUAUAAAGCUGCACUUGUGAAAUGCCACACCUUUGUUUAACUUGGGCUGCCCCCAGACUGCUUGUGUUUUGUGGGAGGGAUUCAGUCGCAUACUGGAAAUAUAGGUUUCAUGUGGAUUAAAGAACUUUGUUGCC
rnacentral:lncRNA from 1 species